rnacentral:lncRNA from 1 species
AUGAAACACAAAUACACAACAUAUAUAAAGACUGUUAACGGAAACACAGACUGCGACACCGGCUACGACAGCGACGAGUGCAAGGAGUUACCGCAUGAGACUCAUAACAGAGUGCCACCGGUCACCGGAUCCGGUGCGAGACACAACAGACCUCCCGAUCCGCUCCCAGACGCCCACCAUGCUAACAACUCAGCCCAGCACACCGUAUUCAACUUUGACCUCCGCAGGUUCAGCACAACUACAUCAAGGUGGAGAUGGACAAAGUGUCAGACUCCAGCGGGCCGCCCACCCCGAAAAUCUAAUUUUGAGUAGAAACAAAUUUUUAUAGUUUUCACUCAGAAAUUGCUAGUAAAUUUCUCAAAAGAAAUGGCAAGUGAAACUUUGAAUUAAACAUUAUUUUUUUUAGUUGAAAGCCUGAAAUAGUAUUUUCUUUAAGAUCCGUGUAUGCAGUGUUACAGUGUAUUAUUGAUAAUAGAAACAUGCAUCAGAUCAAAACAAAAAUGAAAUUUGAUUAUUAAAGUCUCCAUCAGAUUCACUUCAAAACCCUCUAAAAACAAAUCCAUUUUCUUGUUGUUUCUGUUAGUUUAGUUAGUUUUGAAAUGAGCUUUUAUCAGUAUUUUGAAUGUUUUCCAUUUUCAUCAGUUUAAGUAAUUUAUGUUUUUUUUUUUAUUAUAAUUUUUUUUAUUAAGUUAAACUAAAAUGAUCAAUGUUGCAUUGGCGCCUAGCUGAAAUAAAAGUUUUUAUGUUUUAUUUAAUUGUGGUUCACUUUACAAAAAAAAAAAAAAGAAAAAAAAAAAGUCUUUACAGAUGCAUAGAAAAUACAAGCUAAUUGAACCCCAUGUUUUUGGUUCCUGAAGUGUGACACAAAUGUUUUUCAAAAGAACAAAUAUUGCACGUCAUCUGACCAACUGAAUGCGGCCCAAGAAACAAUUGUGAUAAUGGAGAACUGUACUGUAGCUUAAUAAAUGUAAACCGAGCAGAAAUUACACAAAAAAAAACAGCAACCAGAGCUCUGUUUUUGUCUCAUGAUUACGAGUCGAUGUGAAUUAUUCAGCACUGACCAGCAGAGGGCAGUACGACACAAAAACAAACUUCAGCAUUGUGUCUGUUUUUAUAAUAAUGGUUUACAUUUCGAUGUAUUCAUGACUAUUUGCAAAAACUUUAAAUAGAUUAGAACCACACUUUUGGGCUCUUUUGCAUCUUGAGUUUGUUUCUCCAGUAGCACUGUUACAUAUAGACCAAAACUUAUUCCUAUCUAUAUUCUGUUGGUUUUUACUGUGGGGUUUGUUCAUAUAUAAUGUAAUUCAAUUCAUAUAUCUAUUCAACAUUUUAUUUUCCGGCUGAGUACAGUAUUUUCCGAUUACAGAGUGAUAAAAAGGGAUACCCUUCAGUAACCCUAAUAUGUGAACAAAAUCAAACAAGAAAUCUGAACUUGACUUUAUCCAAUGUUCAGGUUCAUUCUCUUGAAAUGCACGCAGGUUCACUUUCAGAAUGACAGAAAACUUGUCUUUCAAAACAACCGCGUAAAUGUAUUGUACUGUGAAAAAUAUGGUAAUAUCUGUUAGUUAAAGUGUAUAGUUUUAAUGUCUUGCCUGAAUUAUUGCAAUAAAAGUAUGGAAUGCCACAUAGUCCAAAACUUUAACUGAACAAAAAGUGCUUAUGAAACGACAAAUUCAACAAAAACUCUUUCAAUGCUUACAACAGAAACGUGUCUCUGUUUCAGCAUUCCCAACAGUUAUGAUGUCACACUCUUCAGUGUGUGUGUGUGUGUGUGUGUGUGUGUGAGUGUGUUUGAGUGUGUGAGUGUGUGUGGGUGUGUGUGGGUGUGUGUGACUGUGUGUUUGAGUGUGUGAGUGUUAGUGUGAGUGUGUGUUUGAGUGUGUGAGUGUGUGUGGGUGUGUGUGAGUGUGUUUGAGUGUGUGAGUGUUAGUGUGAGUGUGUGUUUGAGUGUGUGAGUGUGUGUGGGUGUGUGUGAGUUUGUUUGAGUGUGUGAGUGUUAGUGUGUGUGUGUGUUUGAGAGAGAGUCAGAUCAGAGCAGAGCAUCAUGGGAGGCUCAUUAUCUGUGUUCACUCUGCUCAUGCUGAGGAUCGAUGCUCGGCUCUGAUGGAUCUUCUUUGACUCUGAAGCCAAACUUCCCGAGCAGUGAUCUCAUAUAUAUAUAUAUAUAUAUAUAAUCCCGAUGCGUUUCCCGUUAAUCCCACAUGCGUACGUUGGCUCUGAUCCCAGAGGUGAGGUCAGACUCUCUGUCUGUGGUUUGACUGGACUUCCUCUUGUCCUUCGGCUCUAAGAAACACCAAACCAUCCCUUCCUGCUCUCAGGACACACUGUCUGUCACCUGGCAACCGUCCUGUUGCUUGGAUACAGCAUGCCUCUCCUUAUUUCCUCCGGAUCAAACACGAGUGACGCCAGAUGCACACGUCAAGAAACAUGCCAGAAAACACACGCACACCUCAACAUUCACAAUUCAGAUUAUAGUAUCUCACUGCUCCGUUGCUCAAGG